rnacentral:rRNA from 1 species
CGAUGGAGGGGGAUAACUACUGGAAACGGUAGCUAAUACCGCAUAACGUCGCAAGACCAAAGAGGGGACCUUCGGGCCUCUUGCCAUCGGAUGUGCCCAGAUGGGAUUAGCUAGUAGGUGGGGUAACGGCUCACCUAGGCGACGAUCCCUAGCUGGUCUGAGAGGAUGACCAGCCACACUGGAACUGAGACACGGUCCAG